rnacentral:rRNA from 1 species
CCUACGGGGGGCAGCAGUGGGGAAUAUUGGGCAAUGGAGGAAACUCUGACCCAGCAACGCCGCGUGAAUGAUGAAGGUCUUCGGAUUGUAAAGUUCUUUUCUAAGGGAAGAAGAAAGUGACGGUACAUUAGGAAUAAGCCUCGGCUAACUACGUGCCAGCAGCCGCGGUAAUACGUAGGAGGCGAGCGUUAUCCGGAUUUAUUGGUGUAAAGGGGUGCGUAGGCGGUCCGUUACGUCAGCGGUAAAAUUGCGGGGCUCAACCCCGUCGAGCCGUUGAAACUGGCAGGCUUGAGUUGGCGAGAGGUACGCGGAAUGCGCGGUGUAGCGGUGAAAUGCAUAGAUAUCGCGCAGAACUCCGAUUGCGAAGGCAGCGUACCGGCGCCAGACUGACGCUGAGGCACGAAAGCGUGGGGAUCGAACAGGAUUAGAUACCCUUGUAGUC